AAAACAUCUUUUCUUGUUUAUUUAUUUGAAAUAUGACCUGCCCAAUGAAUAUUUAAAUGGCCGCGGUAUUUUGACCGUGCAAAGGUAGCAUAAUCAUUAGUCUAUUAAUUGUUGACUUGUAUGAAUGGUUAAACGAAAUAUUAACUGUCUCGAAUUUAAUAUUUGAAUUUAAAUUUUAAGUGAAAAUGCUUAAAUUUUAUUAUUGGACGAGAAGACCCUAUAGAUCUUUAUUAUAUAAUAUUUUAAUUUUUUGGUUAAAUUUUUAUUAAAAUUUUAUAUUUUUUUAUUGGGGUGAUAUGAAGAUUUAAUUAACUCUUUAUUUUUUAAUUCAUUAAUUUAUGUUUAUUUGACCUUUUAAUAUUGUUUAUAAGAUAUAGAUACCUUAGGGAUAACAGCGUAAUUCUUUUUGAGAGUUCUUAUUGACAAGAGAGAUUGCGACCUCGAUGUUGGAUUAAGAUUAUUAUUAGGUGAAGGGGCUUAAUUAAUAGGUCUGUUCGACCUUUAAAUUCUUACA
rnacentral:rRNA from 1 species